GGUCAGCAAAGCUUUCAGCCAUAUACUGCCCUUUUGGGUUACUAAUAGGCUGACUAGGUAAUUUGCCUUCCUCCCUUCUACUAAAGGCUGUUACUAGUUGAUCUAUCUGGAUUUCUAGCUUUGCAAUUGACUGUGUGUGGGAGUGCAAAACCUAUAGUGCUUGCAGAACCUUCUCCUUAAAGGCAGUGUUUGAAGAAGGUUAUGGGUUCUAUGCAUCUUAUGGGUAUGGAGCCAGUUUAUAGGCUCUCUCAGAAUAACUUGAUCUUGGCAUUGGGGGUCUAGCAGUAGGUUGUUAGGCCCAAGAAAAAUUAGGAUG
rnacentral:lncRNA from 1 species